GGCUUACCAAAACAAGGGGUGUCCAACAACUGCGGAGUGUUUGUGAUUAUGUAUGCACUGUACUUUGUCAUGGGGUCCACUUUCGAUUUCAGUGAGUUAGACAUGGGGCGUAUAAGGAAAUGGUGGUGCAUGCUUCUUCUUCAACACUUUCCUUUGCCCUUGGAAGGAACGAGAUCAAGAAAAAGACACAGGGAAAAAGAUGGAACUGAUGGGGGUGAUCCACCAAAAAAGAACAGAACUGUGGAGGAAGUCUGGGUAUGAUUCAGUACUACAAACUAUUAAAGAUCUUAGACGACUUGCUUCACAACCAUAAUUUUUUAUUAAAUCUUGAUCUGUCUGAAGUACAAUUGGUUAACAAUUGCCUUGCCAUCUUUUAAAAAUCCA